rfam:Triticum aestivum genome assembly, contig: Triticum_aestivum_CS42_TGACv1_scaffold_500228_6BL
UGUGUACUCCCUCCGUUCCAAAAUACUUGUCUUCCAUUUGUCCCAAAAUGGAUGUACCUAUAUACUAAAACAUGUCUAGAUACAUAUAUAUUUUGACAAAUAGAAGGCAUGUAUUUGCAACGGAGGGAGUAGAAU